GACCGACUGGCCUAGUGGUUACGGCGCUCGUCUUACAAUUUAACAUUGAUUUCACGAGAGAUCGCAGGUUCGAUCCCUGCGUCGGUCA